UGGUCCCGUAUUCCUGUUGGUCGGCCCGAGAUUAUGCCGCGUCGACCGUGGUUCCCAGGUGAGCCGCCGAGACGACAGCCGACAUGGGCAUAUAUUUGGGAUCAGGUUAAGGUUAGCCAUACGAGGUUGGACCGCGCGUACCUUGAUUACAUCAACGAGAUAGACGCGCUCACUGCUCAUAGUCCUUACGACGGAGACGAUCCACUUCCUUUUCCCCUUAGCUUCAUGUGUGCGACGGACGAUGAUAUUUAUAGGAUGGUGUGCCCUCUUAUUUGCUUCUAUGCUGUCGAGUACCACCUGCCACAUCGAGUCGCACGUCAAUUUGGGAUGAGGCAGAUUUGGCCACCACAGGCGACCUCGACUAGUAUAGAGUUACACAACGUGGAUCGAAAGAAGAAAAGGAAGGU